rnacentral:lncRNA from 10 species
UAACCAGCUGCAGUACUUUUUGUGUGGUGUGGAAGUGUUUGUUUUUUGCAAUAGAUUUUUGUUGCAGUUUAGGUUUGUAUUUUCUUUGUUUUGUAGUGCUUAUUAUGAAGGUUCGUAGGUUUAUGUCUGUAGGCCAGGCAGGUCAUUAAACUUAACAAAGAAUAAGUAAGUCGGGAGAGGGGAAUAGAAAUCUCCACAUACAUAUUCUUAAAAGCUGUAACACUCACCACAAAGAUCUGCUGAGUGAAGUCUGUGAGACGAACGCACCAAGUCUGGACGCUCUGUCAGGCUACAUUUUACGUUUUUGGGAGUGAGCAGGUGUUAUUCUGUUCCCCGGGUUGGUUUUGAAGUCAUGGCUCUCAAGUAAUUUUUGUGCUUCUCAAAAGUGCUGGAAUUGCAAAGAUCAACAUCAAAAGCUACAAACUGGAAACAGAGGAAGAUACUAGCCCCGUGUUUCUGAUUCAGUAUCACUGAAAUACUUUGGAACCAUAUAAAGGGCAAAGUACAUUCCACAUGUUGAAGGACAGUGCCUGGCCCUGUGGGGUGUCAUCCCCAAGCUGUAGGCAUAGUGGCAACCCAGGGGUUCAUCUCAACUCCCAUCAGAGUUCAAACAUUGAAUUAGUUGUGCAAUGGAAGGAGUAUUACCAGGACCCAGAUGCAGCCCAAGGAAAAAAGAAAACAAAAGGAGACACACACAGACACCAGAGCAUGAUGCAAGUGUGGCUUAAUCGGUGCUUGCACAUUGGGCUUGUUCUUUCCAAACCUGUUGCCCCGAUUCUGCAAGGCUAUCCUGCUGUAGAAGGAGGCCCUGGAGGACAAGACACCAUGUGGGGAAAACAGCCAUGGGGAGCAGAACCGAGGUAUCCCAGCUUAGCUCCCAACUGACAGCAGCCACAUGAGUGAGCAGAAAAACAACUUCCAAGGGUGAUUUAGCUACUGCUGCUGUGGAAUGUCAAAACUUUCAGCAAGGGAGCCCGAUGCAGAUCUGUUGAUAUGACACCAUUCCACAAGAAGACCAACUGAUGGCUUUGUGGCAAGUUGACUACACUGGGCUGUUUCUAUUCUGGGAAGACAGAGAUUUGUUCUAAGAGGAAUAGGCAUGUGUUGCAGGCAUAGGUUGACCUUUCCUGCCAUGGAGCCUCCUCUGGUACCACUAUUUGAAGGUUGAAGGAAUGUUGAUUCACCAGGAUUGAGUCAGACCAGCCAAGCCUAUGACCAUGAUGUCAACUGACUGUAUCACCUGUCACAUCAUCCAGAAGCUACAGACUUAUAAGGCAUUGGAAUAACUUGUAGAUGGCCCCGUUAAAGUACCAGCUUAGAGGCAACACUCCAUGAGAAUGAGACAUCAUCUCCAGGAUGGCACAUACACAUUGAAUCACACAGCAUUGAUAAGGAGAUGGCUCCCCAGUAGGAAGAAUAUAUUGGUCAUGAACCAAGGGAUGAAGCAGAAGUGUCUUGCUUCCUGUCCCUGCAGCCUCUCUUUCUGCAGUGCUAGAAAUCCUGGUCAAAAGGGGGCAUAAUUUUAUCAGGGGACACAGCAAAAGUCUCCACUACAUUGCAGCUAUGCCUGCUGCCUGGGGAUUUUGGGCUUCUUAUAAUUGGGACCAGCAAUAAAAGAGAAGAGUCACAGUCUUGGCAGGGCUAAUUGACCCUGAUCAGCAGGAGAAGAAAGGCUGUGGUUCCACUAUGAGGGUAGGGAAGACGUGUGGCACCACUGAUCCACUUUUGCAACCCAUGGUACUCCCGUGGCCAGUUGUGAUGACAGACAAGUGCAGGAACACUUUUGGGAAGGGCAUGGUGGCCAGAGUUCAGACCCCAUGGGAAUGAGGACCAGGGUCACACCACUGGAUAAGCCAGGAGAUUCUUCCCUUGACAUCACACCAGGAAAGUCUGACAACUUAACUUUAUUGGAUAUAGGCAACCGUUGAAUCCAAGUUUUGCCCACUGAAUCCAUCAAAUUGUUACAGCCAAUUCUAGAUGCCUGAGUGGACACAUGAAAUCCAGAUUCCCCAGUAAGCGCAUCCCCAUUAAUAAACUGACCAAAUGCAAUGUUAAUCUGUUCUAUAACCUUUAGAAUCCAUCCCAACAUAUAUUUUUUAGGUUCCUGCCAAGAUAUGUUAGCAAAAGCUUGCAAUUUUUUGAAAAAUGAAUUAUCUCUUCCUGGGACAUGUGUUGUACUUUUCUCUCUGAAAUAGGCUGAGCUCUGACUCCAUUAAAAGUCUGAAAGCAAUGAAGAGUGAAGGAGCGGAUAUUGGGGAGAAUAGGCAUCCUCUUGCAAGAUAACUGCCUCAAAGUCAUUAUAAGGUUUUCAAGCAAGAGAAAGCUAAUUUCCUUACACAUAUGAAGAAGCGUUGCUUCUCCUGGCAAGAAAUACACAGUGAAUCAGGGAUUCAAAAUUCUUAGCUUUAUCUAAGUUUACCCAGAUGUGUCUAUCCUUCCCAAUCAGUGCUCUUGGCAGGAGACUUGGCAAGUCUGCGAAGUCAACUUAUGUUAUAAUUCUGCAACCCACACAAGUUCUUAUUUUCAAUGAGGGUAACCUUGCAGCCACACAAAAUAGCAAAAUUUUUUAAGGAGUACCAUAGACACACUCUGGUUCUCUGUGUUCAGUGUUUUAAGCCUAUCUUUUUGUUCCCCUGUAAGCUCUUCAAUGUAGUCCAAAAUACACCAUCUGUGGUAGGCAGAAUUCUAAGAAGGUUCCAAAGAUUCUCACCCAUGGUGUAGAGAACUUGUAUAAUUUUCUCCCCUAAAGUGUAGGUGGAGCCCGUGAAUAGGAUGGGAUAUUAAUACCAUGAUUGUGUUAUAUUUUGAGACAAAAAAAAUUUUGUAGAUGUAAUUAAAGGUACUAAUCAGUUGACUAUGAGUUUAUCAAAAGGGAGAUCAUCCAGGUGGGCCUGACCUAAUCAUAUCAGCCCUCUAAAUCCUGGUCUAUGGGUCAGAGAAAGAGGAAGGCAGAGAUUUAAAGCAUGAGAGAAAUUCAAAGCAAACUAGAUUCUCCAUUGCUGUCUUUGAAGACAGGCAGCCAUGUGGCAAGGAAUGUGGGUAGCCGAUAGUGGCCGAUGACAGCUCCCAGCCCACACUUCAAGUUUAGCCUCGUAGGGCCCUGAGCAGGGGACACAACUAUACUGCAUUUACAAC